rnacentral:rRNA from 1 species
AGGAAGAAGCUUGCUUCUUUGCUGACGAGUGGCGGACGGGUGAGUAAUGUCUGGGAAACUGCCUGAUGGAGGGGGAUAACUACUGGAAACGGUAGCUAAUACCGCAUAACGUCGCAAGACCAAAGAGGGGGACCUUCGGGCCUCUUGCCAUCGGAUGUGCCCAGAUGGGAUUAGCUAGUAGGUGGGGUAACGGCUCACCUAGGCGACGAUCCCUAGCUGGUCUGAGAGGAUGACCAGCCACACUGGAACUGAGACACGGUCCAGACUCCUACGGGAGGCAGCAGUGGGGAAUAUUGCACAAUGGGCGCAAGCCUGAUGCAGCCAUGCCGCGUGUAUGAAGAAGGCCUUCGGGUUGUAAAGUACUUUCAGCGGGGAGGAAGGGAGUAAAGUUAAUACCUUUGCUCAUUGACGUUACCCGCAGAAGAAGCACCGGCUAACUCCGUGCCAGCAGCCGCGGUAAUACGGAGGGUGCAAGCGUUAAUCGGAAUUACUGGGCGUAAAGCGCACGCAGGCGGUUUGUUAAGUCAGAUGUGAAAUCCCCGGGCUCAACCUGGGAACUGCAUCUGAUACUGGCAAGCUUGAGUC